UACGGAGGGUGCAAGCGUUAUCCGGAUUUACUGGGUUUAAAGGGUCCGUAGGCGGUUUAAUAAGUCAGUGGUGAAAGCCCAUCGCUCAACGGUGGAACGGCCAUUGAUACUGUUAAACUUGAAUUAUUAGGAAGUAACUAGAAUAUGUAGUGUAGCGGUGAAAUGCUUAGAGAUUACAUGGAAUACCAAUUGCGAAGGCAGGUUACUACUAAUGGAUUGACGCUGAUGGACGAAAGCGUGGGUAGCGAACAGG
rnacentral:rRNA from 1 species